rnacentral:rRNA from 1 species
GAUGAACGCUCGCUACAGGCUUAACACAUGCAAGUCGAGGGGCAGCAUGGUCUUAGCUUGCUAAGGCCGAUGGCGACCGGCGCACGGGUGAGUAACACGUAUCCAACCUGCCGUCUACUCUUGGACAGCCUUCUGAAAGGAAGAUUAAUACAAGAUGGCAUCAUGAGUCCGCAUGUUCACAUGAUUAAAGGUAUUCCGGUAGACGAUGGGGAUGCGUUCCAUUAGAUAGUAGGCGGGGUAACGGCCCACCUAGUCUUCGAUGGAUAGGGGUUCUGAGAGGAAGGUCCCCCACAUUGGAACUGAGACACGGUCCAAACUCCUACGGGAGGCAGCAGUGAGGAAUAUUGGUCAAUGGGCGAGAGCCUGAACCAGCCAAGUAGCGUGAAGGAUGACUGCCCUAUGGGUUGUAAACUUCUUUUAUAAAGGAAUAAAGUCGGGUAUGGAUACCCGUUUGCAUGUACUUUAUGAAUAAGGAUCGGCUAACUCCGUG